rnacentral:rRNA from 1 species
AUUGAACGCUGGCGGCAGGCCUAACACAUGCAAGUCGAGCGAGCGGCGGACGGGUGAGUAAUGUAUGGGAAACUGCCUGAUAGAGGGGGAUAACUACUGGAAACGGUAGCUAAUACCGCAUACCAUCGGAUGUGCCCAGAUGGGAUUAGCUGGUAGGUGGGGUAACGGCUCACCUAGGCGACGAUCCCUAGCUGGUCUGAGAGGAUGAUCAGCCACACUGGGACUGAGACACGGUCCAGACUCCUACGGGAGGCAGCAGUGGGGAAUAUUGCACAAUGGGCGCAAGCCUGAUGCAGCCAUGCCGCGUGUGUGAAGAAGGCCUUAGGGUUGUAAAGCACUUUCAGCGGGGAGGCGUUACCGACAGAAGAAGCACCGGCUAACUCCGUGCCAGCAGCCGCGGUAAUUC